AUAAGCGGAGGAAAAGAAACCAACCGGGAUUGCCCUAGUAACGGCGAGUGAAGCGGCAAGAGCUCAAAUUUGAAAGCUGGCCCCCUCGGGGUCCGCAUUGUAAUUUGCAGAGGAUGCUUCGGGAACGGCCCCCAUCUAAGUGCCCUGGAACGGGCCGUCAUAGAGGGUGAGAAUCCCGUCUGGGAUGGGGUGGCCGCGCCCGUGUGAAGCUCCUUCGACGAGUCGAGUUGUUUGGGAAUGCAGCUCUAAUUGGGUGGUAAAUUUCAUCUAAAGCUAAAUAUUGGCCGGAGACCGAUAGCGCACAAGUAGAGUGAUCGAAAGAUGAAAAGCACUUUGAAAAGAGAGUUAAACAGCACGUGAAAUUGUUGAAAGGGAAGCGCUUGCGACCAGACUCGCCCGCGGGGUUCAGCCGGCACUCGUGCCGGUGUACUUCCCCGCGGGCGGGCCAGCGUCGGUUUGGGCGGCCGGUCAAAGGCCUCUGGAAGGUAACGCCUCUCGGGGCGUCUUAUAGCCAGGGGUGCCAUGCGGCCUGCCCGGACCGAGGAACGCGCUUCGGCUCGGACGCUGGCAUAAUGGUCGUAAGCGACCCGUCUUGAAACACGGACCAAGGAGUCUAACAUCUACGCGAGUGUUCGGGUGUCAAACCCGUGCGCGCAGUGAAAGCGAACGGAGGUGGGAACCCCCCGGGGUGCACCAUCGACCGAUCCUGAUGUCUUCGGAUGGAUUUGAGUAAGAGCGUAGCUGUUGGGACCCGAAAGAUGGUGAACUAUGCCUGAAUAGGGCGAAGCCAGAGGAAACUCUGGUGGAGGCUCGCAGCGGUUCUGACGUGCAAAUCGAUCGUCAAAUUUGGGUAUAGGGGCGAAAGACUAAUCGAACCAUCUAGUAGCUGGUCUGC
rnacentral:rRNA from 1 species